rnacentral:lncRNA from 10 species
CUCCUGAGUAGCUAGGAUUACCGGCACGCACUACCACGCCUGGCUAAUUUUUGUAUUUUUAGUAGAGACGGGGUUUCACCAUGUUGGUUAGGCUGGUCUCAAAUUCCUGACCUCAUGAUCCACCCGCCUCGGCCUCCCAAAGUGUUGGGAUUACAGGUGUGAGCCACCAUGCCCGGCCCCCGCACACUAUUAUAGUCACAGUUGAACGCAGUGCCAGCGGAAUCUGCCUCAGCAGGAUGAUUGUAGGUUGUGUUUUCAGAGAUGGUGCCUUCUGGCAUAGUAGUGUUUUCCAUAAAAAUGUUUUUCUCGAGAUGAGUGUGUUGUUAUAGCCAUAUCCUGGAACUUUUUUAGUGAGAAAAAAAAAAGGAAAGAACAUUUUUAAAAAAAAACAAGGAGGAUGAAGAGGAUGAAAGCUAACUAUUCAAAACCCCAGUAUUACAGAGUUUCAGAGAGAAAGAGGCGUUUGUAUUGAUUCAAGAGGAUUGAAUCAGAUGGAUUUUCCAUUUAGAAAGCAAAAGAAAAUCAAGACUUCAGCAUUGUGUUUAAAAUGAUGAAGGCAGCCGGGGGCGGUGGCUCAUACCUGUAAUCCCAGCACUUUGGGAGGCUGAGGUGGGCGAAUCACGAGGUCAAGAGAUCGAGACUAU